CCCCUAGAUGUUCUGGGCCGCACGCGCGCUACACUGAACAGUUCAACAAGUCUUAACCUUGGCCGAUAGGUCUGGGUAAUCUUUGAACGCUGUUCGUGAUUGGGAUAGACCUUUGCAAUUAUGGGUCUUCAACGAGGAAUUCCUAGUAAACGCAAGUCAUCAGCUUGCAUUGAUUACGUCCCUGCCCUUUGUACACACCGCCCGUCGCACUUACCGAUUGAAUGGUCCGGUGAAAUCUCGGGACGGCGGCUUGGUCGCUUGCGUCCGACUGCUGAAACUUGAUUAAACCAUAUCAUUUAGAGGAAGGUGAAGUCGUAACA
rnacentral:rRNA from 1 species